AUGACAGUACCUGGUAAAGAAACCCCGGCUAACUCCGUGCCAGCAGCCGCGGUAAUACGGAGGGGGUUAGCGUUGUUCGGAAUUACUGGGCGUAAAGCGCACGUAGGCGGAUUGGAAAGUAGGGGGUGAAAUCCCGGGGCUCAACCCCGGAACUGCCUCCCAAACUCCCAGUCUUGAGUUCGAGAGAGGUGAGUGGAAUUCCGAGUGUAGAGGUGAAAUUCGUAGAUAUUCGGAGGAACACCAGUGGCGAAGGCGGCUCACUGGCUCGAUACUGACGCUGAGGUGCGAAAGUGUGGGGAGCAAACAGGAUUAGAUACCCUGGUAGUCCACACCGUAAACGAUGAAUGCCAGCCGUCGGGUAGCAUGCUAUUCGGUGACACACCUAACGGAUUAAGCAUUCCGCCUGGGGAGUACGGUCGCAAGAUUAAAACUCAAAGGAAUUGACGGAA
rnacentral:rRNA from 1 species